rnacentral:lncRNA from 10 species
CAACGAUCAAAUUUCACCUUGAGCAGAUUCUUUUGUUUGCUUUUUAGUCACAAAUAGCUUGGCCCUAAGUGGUGGCUCCCAUUCUUGUAAGAUGCGUUUAUUCAUCGUGUAAUCACCAGUUCCCUGUAGUGGGGGCGUGGAUGGAGUGUCAGAGGCUCCUGCUGGUCUUUAGGGUGUCUGGCCUCCAGGAAUCCUAGAGUAAAUUGGGAACUACAGCACUCGAUGUUAGAGUUGUCGUGAAGAUUAAAGAAGGUGACGACUGGACAACUCCCAGCCCAAUACCUGAAACUGUACCAGCACCCAGUGAGCACUGCUAUUCCUGUGACUGCUGCACAUUUGCCUUAUCUCAGCAGUAUGCCUGUGUCACUUUUUUGGCACUCUUUUCUCAUGGGUACAUUCAGAGAAGAGGAAUGUUUGUUCACUGGUGAAGAGAACAUCCCGUGUACUAUCGUGUAGAAGUUGUAGUAGACGCUGUGGUCUUUCCAACAACAAACAAAGAGGCUGGUCCGAACUGCAGCUUGUCCUCA